UUGACCUCGGAUCAGGUAGGGAUACCCGCUGAACUUAAGCAUAUCAAUAAGCGGAGGAAAAGAAACCAACAGGGAUUGCCUCAGUAACGGCGAGUGAAGCGGCAAUAGCUCAAAUUUGAAAGCUGGCGCCUUCGGCGUCCGCGUUGUAAUUUGUAGAGGAUGCUUCGGCAAGGACUCCUGCCUAAGUCCCCUGGAACGGGGCGUCACAGAGGGUGAGAAUCCCGUAUGUGGCGGGCGGUCCGAGCCAUGUGAAGCUCCUUCGACGAGUCGAGUUGUUUGGGAAUGCAGCUCUAAAUGGGAGGUAAAUUUCUUCUAAAGCUAAAUAUUGGCCAGAGACCGAUAGCGCACAAGUAGAGUGAUCGAAAGAUGAAAAGCACUUUGGAAAGAGAGUUAAAAAGUACGUGAAAUUGUUGAAAGGGAAGCGCUUGCAACCAGACUCGCCCGCAGUUGCUCAGCCGGCCUCUUGGCCGGUGUACUCUUCUGCGGUCGGGCCAGCAUCAGUUCGGGCGGCUGGAUAAAGGUGCCGGGAAUGUAGCACCCCUCGGGGUGUGUUAUAGCCCGGCGCGGAAUGCGGCCAGCCUGGACUGAGGAUCUCGCUUCGGCAAGGAUGCUGGCGUAAUGGUUGUAAGCGGCCCGUCU
rnacentral:rRNA from 1 species